GCUGGGCGUGGUGGCGGGCGCCUGUAGUCCCAGCUACCAGGAGGCUGAGGUGGGAGAAUGGCGUGAACCCGGGAGGUGGAGCUUGCAGUGAGCCGAGAUUGUACCACUGUACUCCAGCCUGGGUGACAGAGCGAGACCCCGUCUCAU
rnacentral:SRP_RNA from 2 species